GAAACAUUCCACAGUCAUCUUAAGGUCAUUGGAUUAUCAUUGAAAAAGGAUAUUGGAAACUAGAGAAUUUUAUAAAUAACUAGUACCCUUGACCAAAAUAUGGCACAGAGGAUUCAGUGAUGCAUAUUUCGAUGAUCAGCCCUAUAACCAGUUGAAAAAGAGAGGCAACAACUUAUGUAAUUGUUUACACAAAUUCAAAUCAGAAAAAAAGUGUUUUAUUGGAAAAACACAAAGCAAUAGAGGAAAAAUCAAGAUUGCAAGAGAUAGAUGGCUAAACUGCACACAGAUAAUUCGAAAAUGUGGAGAUAUUAAACAAGAAUGUGUAAACACCCUAAUAAACAAGUAAUCAAAAUAUGCAAGUUGAAAUAUAAAGCAAGGUUCAUCAUUGGGAAACUGUACCAGUAAGAAGGGGGUGAAGCUGAGCUGAGGAGACAGGUGUCACUAAUCACUCACCAUUGCCAUAAAGAAACUCACAAUGGAGCAACUUCCUGGCAAUCUCUUGGAGUUAAAUUAAUUGGUAGAUGUAUUUCCUUGGUAGCUGAGAGAUUUGACCUGGUACAUCAAAUUGUGAAAGGCUAUGUGGGAUUAACCCUGUGAAAGAACAAAAGGAUUCCUGUCCGGCGUGAUCUAAGAUUUGCAGCUCCUGACACACUACAGUAUCUUGGAGGAAGAAAUCAUUCGCCUGAAUCAUCUUCUCAGGAUUCACAUGAAUGGAAAAAAAUU